rnacentral:rRNA from 1 species
AUUGAACGCUGGCGGCAGGCCUAACACAUGCAAGUCGAACGAGUGGCGGACGGGUGAGUAAUGUCUGGGAAACAGCCUGAUGGAGGGGGAUAACUACUGGAAACGGUAGCUAAUACCGCAUACCAUCGGAUGUGCCCAGAUGGGAUUAGCUAGUAGGUGGGGUAAAGGCUCACCUAGGCGACGAUCCCGAGCUGGUCUUGUAGUAUGAGCAGACACACUGGGACUGAGACACGGUCCAGACUCCAACGGUAGGCAGCAGUAGGUAAUAUUGGACUAUGGGCGCAAACCUGAAACAGCCAUGCCGCGGGUAUGAAGAAGGCCUUCGGGUUGAAAAAUCCUUUCAGCAGGGAGGCUUUACCCACAGAAGAAGCAACGGCGAACUCCGUGCCAGCAACCGCGGUAAUAC